AACGAACGCUGGCGGCAGGCUUAACACAUGCAAGUCGAGCGCCCCGCGAGGGGAGCGGCAGACGGGUGAGUAACGCGUGGGAAUCUACCCAUCUCUACGGAAUAACGCAUGGAAACGUGUGCUAAUACCGUAUACGUCCUUCGGGAGAAAGAUUUAUCGGAGAUGGAUGAGCCCGCGUUGGAUUAGCUAGUUGGUGGGGUAAAGGCCUACCAAGGCGACGAUCCAUAGCUGGUCUGAGAGGAUGAUCAGCCACACUGGGACUGAGACACGGCCCAGACUCCUACGGGAGGCAGCAGUGGGGAAUAUUGGACAAUGGGCGAAAGCCUGAUCCAGCCAUGCCGCGUGAGUGAUGAAGGCCCUAGGGUUGUAAAGCUCUUUCGCAGGUGAAGAUAAUGACGGUAACCUGAGAAGAGGCCCCGGCUAACUUCGUGCCAGCCGCCGCAGUAAUAC
rnacentral:rRNA from 1 species